rnacentral:misc_RNA from 1 species
UGUAGAUUUCUGCGUGGUGAUUAUUGUCUUGAAAGUGAUUUGCGAAACUAUCCGCCAAAAAAAGCAAUCACAACGAAUCUAUCUUAUGUAUCAGAAAUGAUUAAAUUCGACGAAGACUCUGAAAUAGCUUCAAUGGAGUCAAUCAGUUCGGAAGAUGAACAAGAAAUAAGAAGAUAUUUAAAACUCAAUGUCGAUCGCGUGAGUUUUGCUGGUGGUGUAAUAAAGAAUAUUGCAAGGGGCGUUGGUAAAUACAACAUAUUUGAGGAUACGAGGAAGUGAGUUAAAUUUUUGAGUUAUCUAUAGUUAUAAAUAAUUGUCUUAUUUCUAUUUCUAUCUUUAAAAAAAAAUUAAAUUCAAAUUAAUAUUUUCAUGCGUCAGGUCCGAGCUAAUAACUGAUGAAGAACUUAGACGGUUUAGAUUAGCGUCCAUGGAUUAUCGUUCAAGAGAAAGCCACGAGAAGUAAGAAAUAUUGUAUUGUGGAUCCUAAAUGAGGCUUUCAUAGUCAAUUAUAAAAAAUGAAAUAUUUAAAA